UCCUCUUAUCUCCUCAUAUCUCCUCUUAUCUUCUCCUUUCUCCUCUAAUCUCCCCUAUCUCCUAUAUCCUCUUAUCUCCUCCUAUCUCCUCUAAUCUCCCCUAUCUCCUAUAUCCUCUUAUCUCCUCCUAUCUCCUCUGUCUCUGCCUCUUCUUUUUCCUCACACACACCGAUACGGACACACGGAGAAGGAAUGGAGGGAGGAGAGAGAACUCAGAGAGGAACAAGAGACGAGAUAGAACGAUUGACUCUGGGAUGGCGGAGUGGAACAAGAGAUGAGAAGAUGAUAAUUUGUGAUCGAUGACAGAACCAGCCUCCUCCCUGAUGGAACAAGACCAGAACUAUGGACAUUUCUGCUUUUUUACAUUUUACACGCUAUAACCUGAAUGAAUAUAGGCUUUACAUUUAAAUAAUACAUUUAUCUCAAGGAGUGAAUUAAUUUAUUGUGUUACAUGUAGCAGAGCUGUAUAGUGUAUUACUGUAGAGGCUUAGAGGUGCAGUGGCAUGUGGGGUAGUGAUGGGAGAGACUUUGAGGACAGGGGUUAAGGGUUAUCCGAUACCCCAGAAGAGGUACAGGAGGACAUCAUUGGACCCAGAGAACACCCAACAGGACCAGAAUGAAAUCCUUCAUUUUAAGGGGAACACAUUUUUUUCUAGUAAGGAUGGGCCCAGGACUUUUUUUUAUAACCAACAGUGCCUGUCCAGAACUCACUUGUACCAGACAUUAGUACGAGGACACCACACAUUUGCACAAAAGCCUAAGGACCUUGUUUAUGUGGGUGAAUCAUUGGGCUGGACCAGGUGUUUCCCAGAAGAGGCUUGAGAAGUGUUACGACAGCGAGCCUCCCUGGCUAGAGAGACUGUUACGGGUCGAUGGCCUCCAGAGAGACUGUUUAUUGGUCGAUGGCCUACAGGGAGACUGUUUAUUGGUCGAUGGCCUCCAGAGAGACUGUUUAUUGGUCGAUAGCCUCCAGAGAGACUGUUUAUUGGUCGAUGGCCUCCAGAGAGACUGUUUAUUGGUCGAUGGCCUAAGGAGAGACUGUUUAUUGGUCGAUGGCCUAAGGAGAGACUGUUUAUUGGUCGAUGGCCUCCAGAGAGACUGUUUAUUGGUCAAUGGACUCCAGAGAGACUGUUACUGGUCGAUGGCCUCCAGAGAGACUGUUUAUUGGUCGAUGGCCUCCAGAGAGACUGUUUAUUGGUCAAUGGACUCCAGAGAGACUGUUACUGGUCGAUGGCCUCCAGAGAGACUGUUUAUUGGUCGAUGGCCUCCAGAGAGACUGUUUAUUGGUCGAUGGCCUCCAGAGAGACUGUUCAUUGGUCGAUGGCCUCCAGAGAGUGUUUACUGGUCGAUGGCCUCCAGAGAGACUUUUCUUUGGUCGAUGGCCUCCAGAGAGACUGUUUAUUGGUCGAUGGCCUCCAGAGAGACUGUUUAUUGGUCGAUGGCCUCCAGAGAGACUGUUACAGGUCGAUGGCCUCCAGAGAGACUGUUUACUGGUCGAUGGCCUCCAGAGAGACUGUUUAUUGGUCGAUGUCCUCCAGAGAGACUGUUUAUUGGUUGAUGGCCUCCAGAGAGCCUGUUUAUUGGUCGAUGGCCUCCAGAGAGACUGUUUAUUGGUCGAUGGCCUCCAGAGAGACUGUUUAUUGGUCGAUGGCCUCCAGAGAGACUGUUUAUUGGUCGAUGGCCUCCAGAGAGACUGUUUAUUGGUCGAUGGCCUCCCUGGCUAGUAGCACGUAGGUCCUUAAUGUUUCAUCUUUACCGUCCAUCACUUUCACCUGUUUAUUUAGCUUUAUUACUGCUACUAUGUUAUUCUGUUAUUCUGUGUGCUGUCAGUUUGUUUCUGUUCCCCUGUCGUAGGUUGUUCAUCAUUCUGUCCGGCUUGUUAUAACAUUGUGUGUGUGUGCGUGUGCGUGUGUGUGUGCGUGUGUGUGCGUGUGCGUGUGCGUGUGUGUGUAGCGUUGUGUGUGUAUCACAUGCUCUGUGCUGUCAGAGGGAGGAGUAACUGUGGCAGUAUUAGUAGGAUUGGUACGCCCUGCCUUAUGACAUGCGUGUUGUUUUAGAGGGAGAGGGAAUGUGGUUGUGGUGGUGGGGGGUUUAGAGGAAGCUGGGGGCACCAUGGACCGUCUGUUUACACACUGUUCAUGUGUUGCUGCUUCACGUUGCUAUAAAGUCAAUAUAGACAAUUUAUUGCUUCUAUUUAAAGAUAAAAUAGUCACAUUUCUGCUUGUUAUUGCAGCCCAAAACAAAAUUGUUGUUGUUGUUGUUGUUGUUGUUGUUGCUCGGUUCCAGGUCUUGUGGGAGAGGGAACUCUGCUUCUUUCUCACUUUACAAUAAUUGCACUUACUUUUUUUUCAGUCCUUUUUUUUCAUUUCAACGUAAAUAUCUUAACAACUUUAAAUAAACAUUGAUGUUGUUCA